rnacentral:rRNA from 1 species
GACGAACGCUGGCGGCGUGCUUAACGCAUGCAAGUCGAACGGAAAGGCCCAGCUUGCUGGGUGCUCGAGUGGCGAACGGGUGAGUAACACGUGGGUGAUCUGCCCCUAACUUCGGGAUAAGCUUGGGAAACUGGGUCUAAUACCGGAUAGGACAAUCGUUUAGUGUCGGUUGUGGAAAGUUUUUUCGGUUAGGGAUGAGCCCUCGGCCUAUCAGCUUGUUGGUGGGGUAAUGGCCUACCAAGGCGUCGACGGGUAGCCGGCCUGAGAGGGUGGACGGCCACAUGGGGACUGAGAGACGGCGCAGACGCCUACGGGAGGCAGCAGGGGGGAAUAUGGCACAAUGGGCGCAAGCGUGAUGCAGAGACGUCGCGUGGGGGAUGACGGCCUUCGGGUUGUAAACCUCUGUCGACAGGGACGAAGAUUUGGUGACGGUACCUGUAUAAGAAGCACCGGCUAACUACGUG